rnacentral:rRNA from 1 species
AACGCUAGCUACAGGCUUAACACAUGCAAGUCGAGGGGCAGCGGGAACUUAGCUUGCUAGGUUUGCCGGCGACCGGCGCACGGGUGAGUAACACGUAUCCAACCUGGCCCAUACUCGGGUAUAGCCUCUCGAAAGGGAGAUUAAUCCCCGAUGUUGUCGUUGUUCCGCAUGGUACAGCGACCAAAGUUUUUCGGUAUGGGAUGGGGAUGCGUUCCAUUAGCUUGUUGGCGGGGUAACGGCCCACCAAGGCGACGAUGGAUAGGGGUUCUGAGAGGAAGGUCCCCCACACUGGAACUGAGACACGGUCCAGACUCCUACGGGAGGCAGCAGUGAGGAAUAUUGGUCAAUGGGCGCGAGCCUGAACCAGCCAAGUAGCGUGAAGGAUGACUGCCCUACGGGUUGUAAACUUCUUUUAUACGGGAAUAAAACCUCCCACGUGUGGGAGCUUGUAUGUACCGUAUGAAUAAGCAUCGGCUAACUCCGUGCCAGCAGCCGCGGUAAUACGGAGGAUGCGAGCGUUAUCCGGAUUUAUUGGGUUUAAAGGGAGCGUAGACGGGGGAUUAAGUCAGUUGUGAAAGGCUGCGGCUCAACCGCAGCACUGCAGUUGAUACUGGUUUCCUUGAGUGCGGUUGAGGUAUGUGGAAUUCGUGGUGUAGCGGUGAAAUGCUUAGAUAUCACGAAGAACUCCGAUUGCGAAGGCAGCAUACUAAGCCGUAACUGACGUUGAGGCUCGAAAGUGUGGGUAUCAAACAGGAUUAGAUACCCUGGUAGUCCACACGGUAAACGAUGAAUACUCGCUGUUGGCGAUAUACAGUCAGCGGCCAAGCGAAAGCAUUAAGUAUUCCACCUGGGGAGUACGCCGGCAACGGUGAAACUCAAAGGAAUUGACGGGGGCCCGCACAAGCGGAGGAACAUGUGGUUUAAUUCGAUGAUACGCGAGGAACCUUACCCGGGCUUAAAUUGCACUGGACAGGCUCAGAGAUGUGCCCUUCUUCGGACCAGUGUGAAGGUGCUGCAUGGUUGUCGUCAGCUCGUGCCGUGAGGUGUCGGCUUAAGUGC